rnacentral:rRNA from 1 species
GACGAACGCUGGCGGCGUGCUUAACACAUGCAAGUCGAACGGAAAGGCCCUGCUUUUGUGGGGUGCUCGAGUGGCGAGCGGGUGAGUAACACGUGAGUAACCUGCCCUUGACUUUGGGAUAACUUCAGGAAACUGGGGCUAAUACCGGAUAGGAGCUCCUGCUGCAUGGUGGGGGUUGGAAAGUUUCGGCGGUUGGGGAUGGACUCGCGGCUUAUCAGCUUGUUGGUGGGGUAGUGGCUUACCAAGGCUUUGACGGGUAGCCGGCCUGAGAGGGUGACCGGCCACAAUGGGACUGAGAUACGGCCCAGACUCCUACGGGAGGCAGCAGUGGGGAAUAUUGCACAAUGGGCGGAAGCCUGAUGCAGCAACGCCGCGUGCGUGAUGACGGCCUUCGGGUUGUAAACCGCUUUCGCCUGUGACGAAGCGUGAGUGACGGUAAUGGGUAAAGAAGCACCGGCUAACUACGUG